GAGUAAUGUAUCGAGCGAACCUGCCUUUCAGAGGGGACAACAGUUGAAACGACUGCUAAUACCGCGUAACGUAUCGUGAGGGCAUCCUCGUGAUACCAAAGGAGCAAUCCGCUGAAAGAUGGGCUCAUAUCGUGAUUAGCUUGUUGGCGGGGUAACGGCCCACCAAGGCGACGAUCACGUAGCCGGACUGAGAGGUUGAACGGCCACAUUGGGACUGAGAUACGGCCCAGACUCCUACGGGAGGCAGCAGUGGGGAAUAUUGGGCAAUGGGCGAAAGCCUCGACCCAGCAACGCCGCGUGAAGGAAGAAGGUCUUCGGAUUGUAAACUUCUUUUAUGAGGGACGAAGGACGUGACGGUACCUCAUGAAUAAGCCACGGCUAACUACGUGCCAGCAGCCGC
rnacentral:rRNA from 1 species